rnacentral:rRNA from 1 species
AACGAACGCUGGCGGCAUGCCUAACACAUGCAAGUCGAACGAAGCCUUCGGGCUUAGUGGCGCACGGGUGCGUAACACGUGGGAAUCUGCCCUUUGGUUCGGAAUAACAGUUAGAAAUGACUGCUAAUACCGGAUAAUGACGUAAGUCCAAAGAUUUAUCGCCGAAGGAUGAGCCCGCGUAGGAUUAGGUAGUUGGUGGGGUAAUGGCCCACCAAGCCGACGAUCCUUAGCUGGUCUGAGAGGAUGAUCAGCCACACUGGGACUGAGACACGGCCCAGACUCCUACGGGAGGCAGCAGUGGGGAAUAUUGGACAAUGGGCGAAAGCCUGAUCCAGCAAUGCCGCGUGAGUGAUGAAGGCCUUAGGGUUGUAAAGCUCUUUUACCAGGGAUGAUAAUGACAGU